rnacentral:rRNA from 1 species
AGCUCCAAUAGCGUAUAUUAAAGUUGUUGCAGUUAAAAAGCUCGUAGUUGGAUUUCGGAAUGGGCCAGUUGGUCCGCCGCAAGGUGAGUUACUGACUGGUCUGUUCUUCUUCGCAAAGACUGCGUGUGCCCUUUACUGAGUGUGCGUAGGAUUUACGACGUUUACUUUGAAAAAAUUAGAGUGUUCAAAGCAGGCUAUCGCUUGAAUACAUGAGCAUGGAAUAAUGGAAUAGGACUUUGGUCUUAUUUUGUUGGUUUCUGAGACCGAAGUAAUGAUUAAGAGGGACAAUUGGGGGCAUCCGUAUUUCGUUGUCAGAGGUGAAAUUCUUGGAUUUACGAAAGACGAACAACUGCGAAAGCACUUGCCAAGAGUGUUUUCA